AGGCCCGAGUAUUUAGUGAGAAAAUCCGGGUUCUGUGUAGCUGCGGUGGCCAUAUUAUAACCUGGAAAAGGGGACGCAUGAUAGUGGCGUAGUUGCUGUCGUCACGCCAAGUUUCCGCCUAGCUGGGACGACUGUUGCCAUGACGACGGGGGACUGCUUGCGGCCUCCUGGAAGGGACAGGCGAUGGUGGAAUCACUGCUCUAAGGCACCAGGUGACGGUAGCCGUGGAGUGGUGUAAAAUCUGAGGUUUUUGGGAGAAGAAAGUGUUUUUUUACCCAGAAACCUUUUGUUUAAGAGUGGAAGGUUUUGCAAAGGCCAGCCAGCCCAUCCUCACAUGGCCGCUGGUGAGCGCCCCCUGUAGGCCAACCUGACUCAACGUACCUCGGCGGAAAACCCAUCAGUAGCUUCCCACCGUGCCUUCCCUGCUCCUGUUCAGCAAUCCAGCCCCGCUGCCCUGUGUCCUGCCACUCAGCCUGCUGUGCUCAAUCAACUCUGGACCUUGGCACAUGCUGUUUCCUCUGCCUGGAUCGAUCGCUGUCUAGACACGGCUGGGUCCCCCAGCUGUUCACUCCCCCGGCACCUGUUACUGCCCCUUCCGCCCACUUCACUGGAAUUGCUGAUUUCUCUCUGCUCCACCUGUAGGUACUGUGGGGCAGGGACCAUAUCUGCCUGGAUCCCCAGAGCCUAGCUUGGCUUCUGGCACAAAGUAGGGAGGGGAAAUGACACAUCAAGGUAAACUCUGCCCACCUGAAUGACCAGUGUGUCACCUUCAAAGCCUGGACUAGAGGAAGGAAUGAAGACAGGAGAACUGCGGGGUGGGAAGGUGGCCCGGGCGGGGUGGGCGGCGUGGGCGGCCUGCCCCUCCUUUCCUUCUCCCUGGCUUACCAGCUCCUGAACUGAUGAGCUAGAGCCGCGCAUUUUUUUGCUGACCAUGGAAGAAGAGACUAUAAAAUUCAGCUUUCCAUCUGGUUCUUCAUGGUCCAAGAAAACACAGCAAUUUCCAACUCCAGGAAGGCACUCAAAUCAUGAAAGCUUAAACCCAGCCUGUCGUCGAAUUCCCCAGGAGUAGCCUGCGUGUGACUCGGGGAGAAAAGUGGAGAAAGCGUCAUUUACUCUGCGAGCAUGGAUUCCCUGGUGACCCUGCAAGGGGCCGCGUGGGAUGUUUCCCCACGGCCAUUCCUCCUACCCCGGCCUUCAAAGCCAAUGCAACAGCUGCUCCUUGCUUCUCGUCCUCUCUGCUGGCGCCAGCGAGCUCCUGAUGACGGGGCCGGCCAGCCGGCAGCACUCCGCAGCCUGGACGGGAAGUGGAGGCCGGCCUUCCAAUGGGAGUGCUUUAACAUCUGUCCUCAUCCACUGUCCAAACCCUGGCUGCUACUUCAAUGCAAACAUGAUGCACUCGCUUUUUAAUGUUUUCUGUUAAAACCAGACUGAGGGGUGGAAAAAGGAUCGACCCCUCCUCUUCCUAAAAUCAUCACAGGCGACCCUCAGGCACGCCCAAGAGUCUGCCUGGUUCCAGUCCCUGGACACAGGCACACCUCCACUCCCAGCAGGAAAGAAAUAGAGCAAAGGUCCUGAAAAGCCGUCAAGAGGCUGGCUCCCUGGGUAUUUGGGGCCCAACCAGACAAGGAAAUUCUCAACAAUGCGCUGGAAAUGCCAGCUCUGGAGCCGUCUGACAUCAGUUUGAAGGCCUCAGGCAGCUUGGGUGAGCAUCUAGACUCUGGGUACGUUUCCCAGCCUGCUGUGUGAGGCCUUUGAAGUUUAUCCAGCUCGAAUAAACUUUCCAGAAUGCUAGGGCCAUUCAAAAAGGCUUUCUGUGGAAGUCCCCCGGGUGUGUCCUGUUGCUUUCCCACAGGGCAGCGGGCCCAUCAGGGCAGGCGAUCUGAGAAGCAGAGAAGGCAGAGCUUGUGGGUGAGAAAGCAUGAUUCUAUGAUGUUCCGUUCCCUGGCUGUUUACCCAUGGAGAAGGAGAUGGCAGAUAGAGCAUGGGACUCCCGGUGGACUGCAGCUUAGAUCGUGUCGUGUCUGGCCCGUGACCGCUUUUGCACGGAUACCACCCAGCUGUUCCUGAAGGUCUGGGCUAAGAUGUCCAGGAAAAGCACUCCCAUGCAUUAGAAUGACAAAGAACGGCAAAAGUCCGCGCCUGACAUGCUCCGUGCAGAGCUGGUGGCCAAGCCAUGCUUCACGUACAGGCAGGAGGUUCCGUCUCAUUUCCCAGACAAGCGGUCCCUGGCUGCCCAGGCAGGGGCUGGGCCUGCCCGUCCUCCCAUUUGCACAGGCUCUCUAAUUGCAGGAUUACUGGAGCGUCACGAAGAGCCUGUGUUCUUAGAGGGGCUUCCAGGCAGGUGAACACGCCUCAGCGCUGCGGGGAGGGGGUGUUUCACAGGGUGCAACCUGGAUUGGCUUAGGGUCACCCAAAGUGAGGAGGGUGGGUGGGGCAGCAAACAGGGAGAGGCCUUCAUGAGCUGGAAGCAAGGUCUUCCAACCUGCCUUUUUUUUUUUUUUUUUUUUUAAGAUUUAUUUGAAAAGCAGAGCAAUAGGAAGAGAGGGGGAGAGGAGAGACAGCGAGAAUCUUCCAUCCAUCGAUUCAUUCCCCAAAUAGCUGUAACAGCCAGGUCUGUGCCAGACUAAAGCCAGGAGCCAGGAACUCCAUCCUGCUCUCCCACUUGGGUGGUAGUUCCCAAGUACUUGGGCCAUCUUCCGCUGCCUUCCUAGGCACAUUAGCAGGGAGCCGGAUUGGAAGCAGAACAGUCAGGACUGGAACUGGCACUCUGCUAUGGGAAGCUGGCUCUGCAGGUCAUGGCUUAGCCUGCUGUGUCACCACACCAGCCGCUCAGACCUGCUUCUGGUCCACUCAAGAGGAGAGGUUGAGUGCUGUCCCUUCUCUGACUGGAUAAAAGCGUGCCCUGGAGGACAGGACACGAGGUCCCGAGGGCCAAAGAACGCAUCAGAAGCCUCUGGAGAGGGGAGCUGAGCCCCAUGCAGCAGCAGCCACAACUCCACGGGCUGACCACACACAACGAGGGGCCUGGGAUCGGAUGAGAAGAGGAGGAGGACAGGGAGACGAGGCUGCAGCACCGGAGGCACCCCACUGGACGUGGGAUUGCAGAUCCUUUUGUUUCUUUAUUGUUUAAAAAAAUAUUAACAGCAAUUAAAAACAACAACAACGAAACAUUCACAACCCA